GUGGAUUAGAUACCCUGGUAGUCCACGCCGUAAACGUUGGGCACUAGGUGUGGGGCCUUUUCAACGGGUUCCGUGCCGUAGCUAACGCAUUAAGUGCCCCGCCUGGGGAGUACGGCCGCAAGGCUAAAACUCAAAGGAAUUGACGGGGGCCCGCACAAGCGGCGGAGCAUGUUGCUUAAUUCGAGGCAACGCGAAGAACCUUACCUGGGUUUGACAUGUAGGGAAAAGCCGUAGAGAUACGGUGUCCUUCGGGGCCCUACACAGGUGGUGCACGGUCGUCGACAGCU
rnacentral:rRNA from 1 species